rnacentral:rRNA from 1 species
GGCAGAUCCAUUUUCUGCCACCGAAUACAUUAGCAUGGGAUAAUGGAAUAGGACCCUGUCCUCCUAUUUUCAGUUGGUUUUGGCACGCGAGGACCAGGGUAAUGAUUAAUAGGGAUAGUUGGGGGCAUUAAUAUUUAAUUGUCAGAGGUGAAAUUCUUGGAUUUAUGAAAGAUUAACUUCUGCGAAAGCAUCUGCCAAGGAUGUUUUCAUUAAUCAAGAACGAAAGUUAGGGGAUCGAAGACGAUCAGAUACCGUCGUAGUCUUAACCAUAAACGAUGCCGACCAGCGAUUAGGAGACGUUGAAUACAAAACACCACCAUCGGUGCGGUCGUCCUUGGCGCGUCGCGGCUUGCCGUGGCGUGCGAGGGCGGUUUAGCCUGAUGGCAUCGGUGAAUGACUCCCCUAGCAGCUUGUGAGAA